rnacentral:rRNA from 1 species
AUUGAACGCUGGCGGCAGGCCUAACACAUGCAAGUCGAGCGGAUGAGGAGAGCUUGCUCUCUGAUUUAGCGGCGGACGGGUGAGUAAUGCCUAGGAAUCUGCCUGGUAGUGGGGGAUAACGUUCCGAAAGGAACGCUAAUACCGCAUACGUCCUACGGGAGAAAGCAGGGGACCUUCGGGCCUUGCGCUAUCAGAUGAGCCUAGGUCGGAUUAGCUAGUUGGUGAGGUAAUGGCUCACCAAGGCGACGAUCCGUAACUGGUCUGAGAGGAUGAUCAGUCACACUGGAACUGAGACACGGUCCAGACUCCAACGGGAGGCAGCAGUGGGGAAUAUUGGACAAUGGGCGAAAGCCUGAUCCAGCCAUGCCGCGUGUGUGAAGAAGGUCGUCGGAUUGUAAAGCACUUUAAGUUGGGAGGAAGGGUUGUAGAUUAAUACUCUGCAAUUUUGACGUUACCAACAGAAUAAGCACCGGCUAACUUCGUGCCAGCAGCCGCGGUAAAAC